rnacentral:lncRNA from 1 species
CCUGGUGCCAUCAAUUUCUGAGUUUUUAUAGCAUUCUGUCCUGCAAGUUUAAAAGGUUUCUGUGGUUCAUCACCUCAAUGGGGUAUUUACUUCAGCUCUGAUAUAUAAAGAGUUUGGAACUUAACACACCUGUUUUAAAAUAAGAAAAACCUGGAGAAACAAACAAACAAACAAAAAUCAGUGACUUUUCUUGGACCCAUUAGAGAACUGAAGUCACAGAGCAAACAGCUGACAGGAAAUCUGGAUGGAUAAGUUCAUCCACAGAGGUAAAAAUCCAAGAUUUGCUUACCUGAAACAGAAGCUGUUGGGCACCGUGAGCUGGAAGGAACAAAUUGGGUGUUCUCUGCAGCUGGAUCUUAGUCCUGGGAUGGGAGACGCUGUGACCUAAAAAAGAAACCAUGGCUUUAAGAUCAGAAAGACUUGGAGAGGGACCUGACUACUGUUG